GUUUCCCUCUCUCUGCAACCAAACAAUGGAGAGAAUAAAGUUUUAAUCCUUCUCGUAUUGUUCUGGACACUCUCCACGCAUGCGAGGAGUUUGGUCAGGGUCUUUCUCGAAACUGUCUAUUGUACUGCCACAUCGUGAGAAGAUGAUGGUAUGGUACAAAUGUAGAUAGCCAUGGUAUCUAGCACUGCAUUUACAGAAGCUUAGCAGCCCACCCGGCCUUCAUGUAGGCCUACCGGUACAUUGAUUUAGUUAAUGAAUUAUGAGUGACUUCCUCACGCACGCUGUUAUUGUAACUGAACCACUGAGGACCAGGAAUGCUUAUUAAAAGUGGACCCACAAUGAUUAUGAUGACAGUACAGUACUGCCACUUUUUAAAGGGUAAUUAAAUUAGCGCCAUGUCUGCAUGACAGAAAUAGUAAAAUGGGGAUACAAAGCAGACCUGGCGAUAUAUUAUCGUGCAAUGUUAGCAUCAUUGGGAAUUGCCAUUCUAAAUUUUAACUUCUUCAUCUUUGCGAAAAUUCGGGCUGCAUAGCAGCCAUCUUUUAAAUCUUUUUUCUGAUUUCAUUGCCAAUGGUUGUAUGCAGAGGUACAAAUAAUACCCAAAAGAUUCAGGAGCAGAUACACUGCCACUAAAAGUGACUGACAAUAAUCUUCAGAUUGUGGCAUGUGACCUCUUUGCUAGACCGUCUGACCCAGAUUUGUUUGCCUUCUCUUUUACAGGCUGCACCAGCAAGUAGGCCUGAGGCAACUUCUCAACCUGUGAACAAUAGGAAGUCAGUCAAAGCUAAGCCUCGUAGUCCACUACGAUGCAAGACCUUCUGGACAGUGGACAGUGACACAUUUGUCUCUGUAGCUUCUAAUUCCUGGCAGAGGUGUUUCUUGGUCGUCUCGGGGUUAAUGUGCACCUUUCUAACCAAUGUGGGCUCAUCUUUGGCUGUCAGCUUGCGCUUUCUUCCUGACCUUGGUAAGGUUGCUGUUGUCCCUGGGUCCCUGUACUUCCGCUUUAUUGUCUGAACUGACGCCCGUGGCAUAUCAAGCUGCUUGAAAAUGGCUCUUAGUGAAGUACCAGACUGGUUCAAGUGGACAGGCGACUCUAUCAGAUCUUGAGAGUACUCCUUUGACCCCAUGAUGGCUCUAGUCUAAGCUGGCAAAUGACCUGAGCAGAAACCCAGUCCAUUUUAUACUGCUACAGUGGCGCCACCUGAGCUAUGACAUAAUCAUGAUGGUCAACAGGUAGUGGAGACAAGAUAAAAGCCAUUGCAUAACAUAUUUGCCCACCUCAAGGCCAAACAACUAUAAGGUAGGUGUAUGUAAACUUAUGACACUCUGAAAUAUGCAUUGUUUUCAAAUAGAGCUCAUAAAAACAAUGAAAUUAAUGAAACAGAAGUAUGUUUUUUAGUUGAUGACGAGAUGUGAUGAUAGACUUCCUGUAAACUAUAUACUCUUCCUGCGUUCUGUAGUUGCAGAGAAAAAGACAGGGUUAUAUCAUCCUUUGAAUUGUAUGUAAACUUUCGAGCACGACUGUACUCUCUAAUUUUUGCCUUGGCCUCCAGAAAUAAUAGUGUAUUUUCAAAUUCUUUCUUACCAAACCUGAGUGUGUGUUAUUAUUGCACCACCAAUAUCCAAUUUGAUAACCAGUACGCAUGUACCCAAUGGUUUGGUUGUCUAAUUUUCUAAUUGUAAUUUCUAAUUCUAGUGUAAAAGUCAAUAGUUCCCUUUUUUGUCAUGGUAAUGUUGUGGGCAUUUUCUAUUCUUGGCUCACAUGGGUGAGCUUAUAUCCUUACGAUUUCAUCUUGUCCAGCAUUGUUGGCUUUGACUUUGUCUGUCGUUAAGCGAUUUUAUCAUAUACCCUAAGUGCAGUGAUCUGGCAGACGUAUAUGAUAAAUAGAAAACUGCACGAGUGUCUGAUCCGAGUAUCCAGAUUGCACUCGAUGAAUUUCUACGCAGGUCGAGAGCUUUUCAAGCCGUAGAAAAUCAUCUCGUGCAAUCUGGAUACUCGGAUCAGACACUCGUGCGGUUUUCUUAUUGUACAUGUAAUGUAAGAAGCACUAUCAAUGGAAACACGUACCACUUUUUUCAGAAAAGAAAAGCCAGCAAGGGAAAAGCAAGCAAGGCGAAGGGAGACUAUUGCGCAGCUGAGAGAAUAGACAACUACGACCCCAAAAACAACACGUAUUACAUAAAGUGGCAAGGAUAUGAUGCGUCCCACAACUCAUGGGUAAAAGCGGAAGACGUAACUUCUCCUCUCAUCUCUUCUUACAAAGAAAAAUUAGGUUUCGGAACGCACAAGAAGUGAUGCACCUCAUGUCUUUCGAUUGUUGAACAAAUUUAUGUGAAUUUGUGCAAAUCCUCCUGCCUGUGUUUUUUUGUUCAGUGGAAUUCACGUAUUUCGGUAUUCCUUCUUCACCUCCACGCAUUAUUCAUUCUGACAUAAACUCACAUGAUCACUUUUGAUGAAAGAUUACAUAAUGGAUAAUAUUGAAUUCGUGCAAAUAUUGUACAAUGUAAACUUAUCAUAUCUUUCAAAGGUCUCAUUAAAAGUAAAUGUAAGUUACAUGUACAUGUACUGUGGAAUUAUUGUUUUUUCAGACAAUCUGUGGCUGUUGUAUACAUGUAUCAUUCAAUAAACGUGGCAUUUUUCAUAUUAU